rnacentral:lncRNA from 1 species
CGAAGGCUCACCUUGUCUCAUAUCCUACCAACUCCAAUGGUAGGAACAAUCAUUGCUUCUUUGAAUAUAGUUCUUCUCCUUCUCCAAGACUAGAGUACUAUUAUGAAGCAAAUUCAACGACUGGUGAAAGUCUUUCUUUCUUUUUUUCUUUUUCUUUAAUAAAACUUUCUUGAUGACUACAUGCAUGCUUUCAAUCUAAUUAUAAGAUUUGGUGUUUCACAAAGUUUUCAACAAAGGAAUAACUAUCUAUCUAUUAUAUAUCAUGGUGCUUCAGUAUUGCCGCCGGCCAAUUUUUUUGUCGUUGACAUUGCUGGAAAUUGAUUUUGAUAUCUAAACAUCUAUACAAAUCGUUAGCAUAAAUGAAAUACCAUAUGCACUUUUGAAUAAAAAAAUAAUUUUUCAUUACAGAAAAAACUAUUUCUAUAAAAUAAAAUAUAUAAUGUAAGUGUGGAAUUAUAUCUCACCCUUAUUUUUCCAAGACUUUAGUAGUACCAUUUUUCCUUU